GAAACUUGGUGCUCUCCGAUCGCGCCAACGCCUCCGUCUGGCAGUCCUUCGACCACCCCACCGACACGCUCGUCAUCGGCCAGUCGCUGGCCGAGGGCAUGCGUCUCACCGCGAACCUCUCCGCCGCGAAUGACACCCAAGGCCGCCUCUACCUCACCGUCUCCUCUGAUGGCCUCCGUGCCUAUGCCGACUCCCAUCCCCCGCAGCUCUACUAUGCAAAUCUAAUCUGGAGACCUAAGCCAGGAGACAAGAACUCAACCUACGUAACCUUCCAGAAUGGCAGCCUUGCAAUCUUCACUUCAUUAACGGAUCUCAGCAAGGUGAUCUCCAUACCUGCGCCCAGUGCUGCAGAGUCUAUUCAGUUUAUGAGGUUGGAGUCCGACGGGCACUUACGGCUUUACGAAUGGAACUAUGAUGAGGCGGUGAUUGUAGAUGAUGUGAUGGGUAAGGAGAAAUGCGAGUACCCUACUGUAUGCGGUGAUUACGGCGUUUGCUCGGAUGCCGGCCAGUGCAUCUGCCCUUUCACAGCCUACUUUGAGCUAGCCGACAAUUGGCUACCUGAUCUCGGUUGUGCGCCGUCGACUCCUCUGACUUGCCAAUCAAUGCAGGAUCAUGAGCUAUUACCUCUUAACAAUAUUACUUACUUCAAUUACAUCGACGCGCCGACGUUGCAGGGUGUCAGUGAAGAGAGUUGCAAGCAGGCCUGUUUGAAGAACUGUUCUUGCAAGGCUGCUCUGUUUAGGUACGGUAAUAAUUCUUAUUACGGCUCCUGCUACUUGCCCUCAGAACUCUUUUCAUUGCAGACACACGAAUUUGUACAGUAUUACAACUCUUCUGCAUAUAUUAAAGUUCAAAACGUCCCGAAAUCCCCAGGUUCUUCUCCAGCGGAAAGGGCUGCCGUUCCCAGGACAAGUUCCAGAAAAAGAACUCUAUUAGGGAGUGCGCUAGGAGUUGGAUUUUGUUUAAUGUUUCUCGCCAUUUUUCUUGUGCGCCUUGUACGAAAAUGUAAGAAAGAGGAAGAGGAGGAACCAAUUUUCUAUCAAGUACCAGGAAUGCUGAGAAUAUUUUCGUUCAAGGAGCUGAAAGAAGCAACUGGCAACUUCUCCGAGAAGCUCGGAGAGGGAGGAUUCGGAUCCGUUUUCGAGGGCAAAAUAAACGACGUAAAGGUUGCCAUCAAACGCUUGGAUGGUAUAGGUCAAGGUAAGAAAGAGUUCUUCGCCGAGGUCGAGACUAUCGGCAGCAUUCACCACAUCAAUCUCGUUAAAAUGAUCGGAUUCUGCGCAGAGAAGACGCACAGGCUUUUGGUUUACGAGCACAUGUGUCAUGGAUCGCUCGACAAAUGGAUCUUCUACAAAGACCAAGUCAGCCCCCUUGAUUGGCAAACUCGACGAAGAAUUAUCCUGGACAUAGCAAGAGGCCUAUCGUAUCUCCACGAAGAUUGCAGGCAAAAAAUUGCUCAUCUCGACAUCAAGCCGCAAAACAUCCUCCUAGAUGAGAAAUUCAAUGCAAAGGUUUCCGAUUUUGGAUUAGCGAAGCUAAUAGAUAGAGAUCAGAGUGAAGUAGUUACUCGAAUGAGAGGCACGCCGGGGUACUUAGCGCCGGAAUGGUUGACUUCAAUAAUCACCGAGAAGGUCGAUAUCUACAGCUUCGGUAUUGUCGUAACGGAGAUUAUCUGUGGGAGGAAGAACUUAGAUCAUUCCCAACCCGAAGAGAGUAUUCAUUUGAUUACCUUAUUGCAAGAAAAGGCGAAAACAAAUCGGUUGCUCGAUUUAGUUGAUAGUCACAUGAAUGAUUUACAAUUGCACAAGGCAGAAAUAAUUGAAAUGAUGGAGCUCGCAAUGUGGUGCCUGCAGUGUGAUAGCAACAGAAGGCCUUCAAUGUCUACAGUGGUGAAGGUUUUGGAAGGUGCGAUGGGCGUGGAAACGAACCUUGAGUAUAAUUUUGUAGCUACUGGUACUCCAAUACCUAGCAAAGAUGAUUGUGCGGGUUCUUCAUUUGUUCCUCGUGCGUCUCUUUUGUCAGGGCCUAGGUAAAAAUAUAAUUUCUGUAUAUAAGCCUGUAAUUGUACUUGCUGGGUAGUUACAUUUGUAAUCAGAAAACUAAUUUUCUACAUUAUAUGUUAUGUCUUCCAAAAGUAGGCAUCAUGUAACCUCUCAUGCAUAAUGUUAUAUAAAUUUGGCCCAUUUAUCCAUCGUGUUUACCACAGUUUGCUAAGGAAUAGAAGGCAGCCAAUUAAGUUCACUAUUUUAAAAAUAAACAAAAUUUCUUUGAACCUUUCGAAAUAUAAAAUUAAAUGUAUUUAGACACCAUAGUUCUAAAUCAUUAAGGCAAAAUAUUAAGCUCGGAGGUGUAGGCCCAUUUAAAUAAAUAGGAAGAAAGCUUGAACCCCUUGAUCUUUAAAUUAGUUAUAGAGCACUUUACUAUUACACUGUUUUUAUUUGGGCAAAAGGUCAACUGAAGAAAAUUAUGAGCUGCCAAUUUUGUGGAAAAUAUCCCUUUUAAGACAAUUAUAAUGAAGAAAACUUGAGCGAGGAGUAAAAUGACCAGAAUUAUUAGGUCGGGGGAGAUUCUGUAAAAUUUGAUUACCGUAGCAGCAUGUUGGUGGUUAAUCUGGAAGGAAAGAAAUAACGUGAUUUUUAAAAAUCACUUUACUGACCCUCUCUUCGUAGUCGGCCAUAUCAAGGAGUUGGUAAGAGAGUGGAGGGACUUUUGUUGAGCUGAAUAAUCCGUCGAUAAAUUUGAAUUCGUUUUAGAUCUAUCCUAAAAGAAAUGAUCCAACUAAAAGCAAUAUAGAUAAAAAAAAAUGCCAAGUCUAUAGCCCAAAGACGAUUAAAGGAAUAGAAACUUCCAUCCAAGAGUUAAAAUCUUCUUCUCUAGGCUUUUAAAAAAUCAUUUUAAGUAUUUGUAUUAAAAAAAAUAAAAAAUGACAAAAUUAUCGAAGAAAAGACGGCCCUUGUAUAAUAACAUUAUAAGAUCAUAAUUUUAUUUGAGUUACAAGGCUCGUGUUACUCAAUAAGAAAAAUAUACUGCUUCACACAUAAAAAAAAAUUAACACGGGGAUCAUUUUUCUCACAACAGAUCUAAAACAUAUUUAAAUUUACAAAAAAUAUUAAUUUAAUUUUUAAAAAAAACAUAUAUAAAUAAAUAUAUCACAGCAUGUCGGAAGUUUCUUGAUGGAGCUUGGAGCUCUCCACUCAACUAUUGUGAGUCUUGUUGUUGUGCGUGUGGAUUCAACUUCCAUUCAACGUUUCUUCGGGUCAAUGGGAGCAAACCAAAGAAAAAUUAGAGCGCCUAUUUAUUAGGUUGAUGUCGAUGGAUUUUCAAAAAAUAAAAUAAAAUAAAUUAGAGAUUUAUAAAACUUCCUUCAAUAAUAGGCCAUCAAGAAAUAAGCUUUUAUAUAUAUAUAUAUAUAUAUAUAUAUAUAUAUAUAUAUAUAUANNNNNNNNNNNNNNNAUAUAUAUACUUUUGUUUAUUGGCACUAUCUUAAUUUUCAUAUAUUUGAUCUGAAAAUUUUUGAUUAUAUAGGCAUAAAGGCAUCAGGUCCAGGACCAUCCAACCGAGUCCAAAAUUUUAUUAAAAAAUUUAAAGCAAAAAUAUUAGUUAAUUAAAUAUGUUCUAUAAAACAUAAAGACUAGCAUUCAAAAAUUUGUACAAUUUUUUUAUUCCUGAAUCAAACACUACCGAUUUUUAUUUGGCUUAAUUAGGCUAUACCAUGCUGUAUUUUAUAUAUAUUUUUCUCUUUCUAUAUCAUAUAAUUUUUGUAUUUUAAAAGUACCACUCAAUUAUUUUUUUUUCAAUUACUACACUAUAUGUUAUGAACCUAUAAUUUUAUAUAAAAAUUGUUAAAACAUACUUAUUAAAGUGACAAACUAAAUAUUCAACUCAUUUUGGUAUAAAAAAUAAUAAAAUUUAAAAAUUUAAAAAAUCAAAGAUAACUGGAUAAAAAAAUUUAGUGAGUUCAUCAUUGAGAUUAAUUUUAUAUUUUUCUACUAUUUAACUGGUGCCUCUUAAUAAAAUUAUUAGAUUUCGUCUAAAAUAAAAGAUUUAUUAAUUUGUAAUGUAAAAUUGGCAAGAUAAAAAAUUAGUAAUAUCUACGAAAAAAAAAAAUAGGAUAAAAAAUAAAAAUAAAUUUAAAAUAUAGUGUAGAAAUUGACAAACCAUAAUAUUACAAAGCUGUUUGUGGGGAAAAAAAUGUAUAAUACAAUAAAUAAAAAAUAAUACUAAAGUAUAAUAGAAUGGAGUGUAAUUAAGCCUUCUAAACUAUAGAUCUUAAACCCUAAAAAUGUAAGGUGCUGAUGUAUCAGCCAUAUUAUUUAGUGGAUAUAAGUAGGAGACCAAAAGAUUUUUUUUUUUUUUUGGGAAAACUUCAAAUACCAUUUCUGUGAUUUUAUACUUUCUCACUUUAAUAUUAUGUGAUUUAAAGUGUAUUAUAUUUUUUUAUUUUUGUUAUUUUCUUUACUAUUUUUUUUUAAAUCGGUGAUAAAAUAAAUAUUCGAUAACCAUAGAUAGGAUAUGUAAAGUUUUUUUUGUACAUUAUUUAACGAAAAAUUAAUAAAGGAGGUAACAAAAAAAAAAAUUCAAAAGGUACUAAAUUAAUAUACUUUAGAUUAUAAAAUAUUAAAGCGCAAAAUGCAGGAGUGAUAUUUGACCUAUUUAUUUUUUCUAAAUAUUUGACCAUUCCUCACUUGGAUUUUUUGACCAAGGAUGCGGACCUCCAAGUUCCACGAAGCUAAAAUAAAGAAGGAAAAAUAUUAUGCGGGGAGCGUCCUUACUCCUUAGAAGGGACACGAUCGAUGGCGCCCAUGCGACUUCCCCAUGGCGUCCUCCUCCUCCUCCUCCUCCUCCUCUCCGCCUUGUUCUUUCCCCAGCUGUGUACCCUCCGCGCCGAGAAGCCGCCCUUCUGGUACAGGACAACCAAUCUCUCCACCACCUGGGUCAACGACGAUUCCCUUCCCCAUGCCGACACCGUAAGUAAUAUGGGCGCGGACUCCAAUAUCGGAGUUCGCGCCAUACUUCUCCGCGCCAACCCGGCCGGAUUCGGCCCCUCCUUCGCCUGCGGCUUCUUCUGCACCGCCGAUUGCGACGCCUUCCUGUUCUCCGUAUUCAUCGUCUACAGCGACGGCGGCGGCGGCGGCAACAUCACCAACCCCGCCCCCGGCCCCCCGCACGUCGUCUGGGCCGCCAACCGCGGCCGCCCCGUCGGCCAGAACGCCACGCUCCAGCUCGCCGAAACCGGCGGCGGCUUGAUUCUCCGCGACGCCGACGGCACUCUAGUGUGGUCCGCAAACACGUCGAGCAAGAACGUGGCAGGUCUAAGCCUGACGGAAGCGGGAAACUUGGUGCUCUCCGAUCGCGCCAACGCCUCCGUCUGGCAGUCCUUCGACCACCCCACCGACACGCUCGUCAUCGGCCAGUCGCUGGCCGAGGGCAUGCGUCUCACCGCGAACCUCUCCGCCGCGAAUGACACCCCAAGCGAAUCACUGUACCUCGCCGUCUUCCCCGACGGUCUCCGCGCCUACAUCGACUCCGAUCCCCCGCAGCUCUACUAUUCAAAGGUGAUAACCCC
rnacentral:lncRNA from 1 species